AAUGUGAGAACCAUUCACACCGAAAGACUAAGGAUUCCUCCGCUAUGUCAAUCAACGGAGGGUAAGUCGGAUCCUAAGGAUAAUGCGAGAGCAGAAGCCGAUGGGAAACAGGUUAAGAAUCCUGUACCAGUGUAUAUUACGAAGCGGGGACGGACGCUAGAGCUUAAUACGAACCGACGGAAAUGUUCGUUGAGAGGAGUCUUCGGACGAAUCGAAUUAGGGGAUAGAGUUCCAAGAAAAGCCGAUAAGUUAUGGAUAUACAGUGACCGUACCGUAAACCGACACAGGUAGUCGAGGCGAGAAGCCUAAGGUGCUCGAGUGAAUCACGGCUAAGGAACUAGGCAAAUUAACCCUGUAACUUCGGGAUAAAGGGAACCAUCAGCAAUGGUGGUCGCAGAGAAAUGGCCCAGGCGACUGUUUAACAAAAACACAUGGCUAUGCGAAGAUUAAUGUCGACGUAUAUGGCCUGACACCUGCCCGGUGCCGGAAGGUUAAGAGGGGAUGUCAUCGCAAGAGAAGCAUUGAAUCGAUGCCCCGGUAAACGGCGGCCGUAACUAUAACGGUCCUAAGGUAGCGAAAUUCCUUGUCGGGUAAGUUCCGACCUGCACGAAUGGUGUAACGAUCUGGGCACCGUCUCAGCCGUGAGCUCGGCGAAAUUGUAGUGACGGUGAAGAUGCCGUCUACCCGCCACGGGACGGAAAGACCCCGUGAACCUUUACUAUAGCUUAGCGUUGUGACUGGGUAUCUGAUGUGUAGGAUAGGUGGGAGACUGAGAUGCGGCGUCGCCAGGCGUCGUUUAGUCAACGUUGAGAUACCACCCUUUGGAUAUUUGGUUUCUAACCCUGGAAUGGGGGACACCGCUUGGUGGGUAGUUUGACUGGGGUGGUCGCCUCCAAAAGAGUAACGGAGGCUUUCAAAGGUUCCCUCAGCACGCUUGGUAACCGUGCGAUGAGUGCAAUAGCAAAAGGGAGCUUGACUGCGAGACAAACAAGUCGAACAGGUACGAAAGUAGGAUAUAGUGAUCCGGUGGUUCUGCAUGGAAGGGCCAUCGCUCAAAGGAUAAAAGGUACUCCGCGGAUGACAGGCUGAUCUCCCCCAAGAGCUCAUAUCGACGGGGAGGUUUGGCACCUCGAUGUCGGCUCGUCACAUCCUGGGCUGGAGAAGGUCCCAAGGGUUCGGCUGUUCGCCGAUUAAAGUGGCACGCGAGCUGGGUUCAGAACGUCGUGAGACAGUUCGGUCCCUAUCUGUGGUGGGCGUAGGAAGUUUGAGGGGUUCUGAUUUUAGUACGAGAGGACCGAAUUGGACAUACCGCUGGUGUAUCUGUUGUCUUGCCAAGGGCACGGCAGAGUAGCUAAGUAUGGAUGGGAUAAACCCUGAAAGCAUCUAAGUGUGAAACCCGCCUCAAGAUGAGACUUCCCUAGAGGAACGUUGGAGAUUACGACGUGGAUAGGCUACAGGUGAAAGUGCGGUAACGUAUGCAGCCGAGUAGUACUAAUGAACC
rnacentral:rRNA from 1 species